UGAGUCGUCAGGUUUUAUAUUUCUCUCCUCCUCCUCCUCCUCCUCCUCCUUCUCCUCUUCUUCUCUUGUUAUGACCCAUUUCUGGAGCGACUGCCACCGAGACAGAUACACUAUGAUGAACAGUGAAUUCAGAGCUGGUCGGACCACAACAGCCAAAAGAGGAAGCAGUGUCCUCAACAGAGCUGACUAUGAUGUGGAGUAUGACAGAUACGUUGAUGAGCACUAUGAUCGAGUGUUUGAUUACCAGCGCGUCCCCUCUUCAGUCCCGGUGGAUCCUACUCCCGUCAAACGUCCACGCCCUUCAUCAACGUCCUCCUCCACAUCUUCCUCCUCUACAGCGGCUCAGAGGAUGAAGAGCAGCAGAGCAUUUAACCACAGCAGUAACACACACGCCUCCCCUUGUGGCAGCAGCAGUGCUAAAUGUAAGAAGAUACUGUGCAGACAAAACUACACGUUUGAACAUGAGAUCCGGUAUCACUGCAUCAGCAUAAUCAUGUUGC
rnacentral:lncRNA from 1 species